UAAUGUCUGGGAAACUGCCUGAUGGAGGGGGAGUAACUACUGGAAACGGUAGCUAAUACCGCAUAACGUCGCAAGACCAAAGAGGGGGACCGUUCGGGCCUCUUGCCAUCGGAUGUGCCCAGAUGGGAGUUAGCUAGUAGGUGGGGUAAAGGCUCACCUAGGCGACGAUCCCUAGCUGGUCUGAGAGGAUGACCAGCCACACUGGAACUGAGACACGGUCCAGACUCCUACGGGAGGCAGCAUG
rnacentral:rRNA from 1 species